rnacentral:misc_RNA from 1 species
AAUGUCGUAACAAGGUCUCCGUUGGUGAACCAGCGGAGGGAUCAUUACCGGAGUUUACAACUCCCAAAUCCCUGCUGAACAUACCAAGUUGUUGCCUCGGCGGAUCAGCCCGCUCCCGGUAAAACCGGGAACGGCCCGCCAGAGGACCCUAAUACUCUGUUUCUAUAUGUAACCUUCUGAGUAAAACCAUAAAUAAUUCAAAAG